CGUAUCUCAUAUAUUGAAUAUCAUCCAUUUCAUGCAAUGAGGAGUUUGUACAUUCUCCCCGUGAUGGGGUGGGUUUCCUCUGGCUACUCUGGUUUCCUCCCAUGGUCUAAAGAUGUACCAGUUGAAAGGAACCCGAAGAAAACGAAUAGAAGAUGAGAAAUUUGGAGAGAGAAUUUC